ACGGUGGAUGCCUUGGCAAUCAGAGGCGAUGAAGGACGUGAUAAUCUGCGAUAAGCGCGGGGGAGCCGAUAAAUAGGCAUUAUAUCCCGCGAUUUCCGAAUGGGGGAACCCAGCUGCUAUAAGGCAGUUAUCUGACACUGAAUACAUAGGUGUGAGAGGCAAACCCGGGGAACUGAAACAUCUAAGUACCCGGAGGAAAAGAAAUCAACCGAGAU
rnacentral:rRNA from 12 species